ensembl:lncRNA ryanodine receptor 1-like
NUAUCCCCACUGAUGUCUCAUGUUCCCAUUGCCUCCAUGUCCCCUUGAUUCCAUGUCCCACCGAUGUCCCCACGUCCUACUGACAUCCCCAAGCCCCACCAACGUCCCCAUGCCCCACUGCCGUCCCCACUGCCGUCCCCACUGCCGUCCCCACUGCCGUCCCCACAUCCCACUGACGUCCCCGUUCCCCCAGGUACAUCCGUCCCUCCAUGCUGCAGCACCUCCUGCGCCGUCUCGUCUUCGAUGUCCCCAUCCUCAACGAGUUCGCCAAAAUGCCGCUCAAGCUGCUGACCAACCACUACGAGCGGUGCUGGAAGUACUACUGCCUGCCCAGCGGGUGGCCCAACUACGGGGUCAGCUCCGAGGAGGAGCUGCACCUGACCCGCAAACUCUUCUGGGGCAUCUUCGAGUCCCUGGCACACAAGAAGUUCGACCCCGAGCUGUACAAGCUGGCCAUGCCGUGCCUCUGCGCCAUCGCGGGCGCGCUGCCCCCCGACUACGUGGACGCCAGUUACUCCUCCAAGACCGAGAAGAAGGCGUCGGUGGACGCCGAGGGCAACUUCGACCCCAAACCCGUCGAGACCCUCAAGUAGGGGAGGCCCCGGCCCCACGGCUCCGGUGGGGCAGGCGCGGCGUCCUCCCCUGCUCCGUGGGGCGGGCGCGGGGUCCCCGUGUCCGGUGCGGGGUGGAUGUGGGGUCGCCUUCUCCUCUGUGGGGUGGGGGUGAGGUCCCCCAAACUUUUCCUCUCCCGUGGGGCGGGGAUGGGGUCCCCCCUCGUCCCGUGGGGCGGGGAUGGGGUCUCAGCUCCCCCGUGGGGCGGGGGUCCCCCGUCCCCGACCGCCCUGUGCCCCCCGUGCAGCGUCAUCAUCCCCGAGAAGCUGGACGGGUUCAUCAACAAGUACGCCGAGUACACGCACGAGAAGUGGGCGUUCGACAAGGUGGGACCCCCGGGNCCCUCAGCUUCGUGUCCCAAUGGGUGUCCCCAUGCUGGGUGACAUCUGGUGACCCUCAGCUUGGUGUCCCAGUGGGUGUCCCCAUGGUGGGUGACACCUGGUGGCCCUCAGCUUGGUGUCCCAGUGGUGUCCCCAUGGUGGGUGACACCUGGUGGCCCUCAGCUUGGUGUCCCAAUGGGUGUCCCCGUGGUGGGUGACACCUGGUGGCCCUCAACUUGGUGUCCCAGUGGGUGUCCCAAUGGGUGUCCCCAUGGUGGGUGACACCUGGUGGCCCUCAGCUUGGUGUCCCAAUGGGUGUCCCCGUGGUGGGUGACAUCUGGUGGCCCUCAACUUGAUGUCCUAAUGGGUGUCCCCGUGGUGGGUGUCCCCAUAGUGGGUGGCAUCUGGUGGCCCUCAGCUUGGUGUCCCCAUGGGUGUCCCCAUGGUGGGGUGACGCCUGGUGGCCCUCAGCUUGGUGUCCCAGUGGGUGUCCCCAUGGUGGGUGACUUCUGGUGGCCCCACACGUGAUGUCCCAUGGGUCUGGUGACUCCGGGUGUCCCCUCCCCACGCCGCAGGUUCGGGGCGGAGGAGACUCACGAGGAGAACCGCGUCCACCUGGGCAACGCCAUCAUGUCCUUCUACGCCGCCCUCAUCGAUCUGCUGGGCCGCUGCGCCCCCGAAAUGCACGUGAGGAUGCGCGGGGACGCGGGGACGCGUGGGGCGCGCGGUGCGGCAGCCCCAUCCCCACUGCCCCCCGCCUCCCGCCCCACAGCUGAUCCAGGCUGGGAAGGGCGAAGCGCUGCGGAUCCGCGCCAUCCUGCGCUCCCUGGUGCCGCUGGACGACCUGGUGGGCGUCAUCAGCCUUCCCCUACAGAUCCCGGCCUUUGGGAAAGGUGUGGGGCGCUGCGGGGUGGGCCGCGGGGCGCUAUGGGGCGGGCGAUGGGGCGGGCGAUGGGGCGGGCGAUGGGGCGGGCAUCGUCAGCCUUCCCCUGCAGAUCCCGGUGUUUGGGAAAGGCGCGGUGGGGUUUGGGCUCCACGGCGUCCCCUGGGGCUCCGUGGGGCGCCGUGGGGUGCUAUGGGGCGCCGUGGGGUGCUAUGGGGCGCCGUGGGGUGUCCCGCAGACGGGAACGUGGUGCAGCCCCGCAUGGCCGCCAGUUUCGUGCCGGACCACAAGGCGCCCAUGGUGCUGUUCCUGGACCGCGUCUACGGCAUCGAGAC